UCCUACGGGGCGCAGCAGUAGGGAAUCUUCCACAAUGGACGAAAGUCUGAUGGAGCAACGCCGCGUGAGUGAAGAAGGGUUUCGGCUCGUAAAGCUCUGUUGGUAGUGAAGAAAGAUAGAGGUAGUAACUGGCCUUUAUUUGAUGGUAAUUACUUAGAAAGUCACGGCUAACUACGUGCCUGCAGCCGCGGUAAUACGUAGGUUGCAAGCGUUUUCCGGAUUUAUUUGGCGUAAAGCGUGUGUAGGCGGUUCACUAAGU
rnacentral:rRNA from 1 species